AUAAAAAGAGAUUCCUUGCGAUCCUCUCUCGUGAUGGAUGCUGUUAUCAGAAACGAUAUUUAAUUUCGAUCGUUAAAAAAUUCCGCUAGAUUCUAUGAUUCGUCUUCAACUUAUAUUCCAAGUUGUACGAUCUAUUGUUUAUCGGCUUAAUUCGUUAAUAAAACUUGGUUGGUUCCGUUUCGCGUGUACUCUCGUUUCGCAAUAUAUAGUAUAAAUAUCUCCUUCUCUCU